CAGGUGAGCAGUCAGGACAGGUGAACAGUCAGGACAGGUGAGCAGUCAGGACAGGUGAGCAGUCAGGACAGGUGAGCAGCAGGGACAGGUGAGGAACAAGGACAGGUGAGCAGCCAGGACAGGUGAACAGUCAGGACAGGUGAGCAGUCAGGACAGGUGAGCAGCAGGGACAGGUGAGCAGCAGGGACAGGUGAGCAGUCAGGACAGGUGAGCAGCAGGGACAGGUGAGCAGCAGGGACAGGUGAGCAGCAGGGACAGGUGAGGAACAAGGACAGGUGAGCAGCAGGGACAGGUGAGCAGCCAGGACAGGUGAACAGUCAGGACAGGUGAGCAGUCAGGACAGGUGAGCAGUCAGGACAGGUGAGCAACAGGGACAGGUGAGCAACAGGGACAGGUGAGCAGUGAGCACAGUGUCCCAGUAAGCCAUGCUUUGCAUCCAGAUGCCAGGAAUGCUAUUCAGAAGCCUUGUCUUAAAGCUAUAUAUUAGCUUGAAAGAAGCUUAUCAUUUUAGGUAUAAAAAUAAUUGAUCAUAAUAACAAUAAUAGUAAUAGUAAUAAUAUAUAUAUAUAUAUAGAUAUUGCUUAGAUCUUAUUCCCUAGCAAAUUUUAUGACUUCCCCAAUAAGUAUUGCACUAUUUAAAUUUUUUAUGUCAUUGCCUUUUAAUUUCAUGUGUAGUAUUUUGUGACUAGUAUUUAAAUUAAAAUGGAGCUUUGUCCAUUUAUCCUGAGUCCCAUGAUGUUGCUAUGCACCUCUAUAAAUUCUAAUCUUUAUAGAUUAGAAUCCUCUAUAAUUACCUACAUCAUUAUGCAAUUUGCAAAUGAAGAUGGCGUAAUUCUUUCUUAAUCCAUAUGGACUUAUGUUUUGUCUUAUAUUACUGGCUAGUAUAAUGUUGAAUAGACGUGGUAAAAAUGUCCUGCCUUUUACUUACCCAAUUUUAGAGAGAAAACAUCUGUUUUUCACUAUUAAGUCUGAGAAGUGGUUUAAACUGCAUUUUUCCUUGUUAAUGGAGGAUUUUUCUAAGUAUGUUUUAAAUAUCUGUUUAGAUUAUUAUUUUAUCCUUUUUGUGUAUGUAUCACACUGAUGACUUUUUUGGAUAUUAAAACACUUGUGU